rnacentral:misc_RNA from 1 species
GUUUUCCAGGAGGGAUAGCUUCAUUACACAUAGAGCUUUCUGUGAUGCAUUGGCAGAGGAAAGUGCAAAAUCUCAGCCUAAGCCAGUGGAUUCUCAGCCUAAACCGGAUUUAGACGCCAACCCUGAUGGCGAUUCUCAGUCGGCGGCGGUAAAACCGAAUCCAGAGCCUUCUCCACCGCCUCUGCCAUCAUCACCACCGGC